AAGUUUUCGGAAUGACGAGGUUUGUGACUGAGCGGCGGACGGGUGAGUAACGCGUGGGCAACCUGCCUCACACAGGGGGAUAACAAUUGGAAACGACUGCUAAUACCGCAUAAGCGCACAGUACCGCAUGGUACGGUGUGAAAAACUCCGGUGGUACAAGAUGGACCCGCGUCUGAUUAGCUGGUUGGUGAGGUAACGGCCCACCAAGGCGACGAUCAGUAGCCGACUUGAGAGAGUGACCGGCCACACUGGAACUGAGACACGGUCCAGACUCC
rnacentral:rRNA from 1 species